CUCCGCUUCUCCCUCAUUUCUAAUUUCUUCAUCUUUCUUCUCAACGGCAACUAUCUCCCCCCUCUUACCCCUCUCUCCGCCUCCCCUUCUCUCUCGAUCUCUUGUCUCCUUCGUCUUCCUCAGAAUCUUCACUCUUCCUUUCUCUCAAUUUCUAUUCUCUAAAAUGAAGCAUCCACCCAAGAAACCCUAUCUUGCUAAAUACCCAUCUCGCCGAUCCACUGCCCAUUUUCUAUUCCUUGCGCUAACGGCGCCGGAAUCAAGGGCGGAAGACCCCUAGGAAACCUAUGUCGUCUUCCAAAGAAAAUGCUUCACCGUCAGAUCCCAAAUUCCCAACUCCAUGGUUCCCGAUUCCAAACCCUCGCCGACUAAGUUGAAGAGCCUGCUCCAUCUUCUAACCCACUUAAGCGGAAGCUCAGUAUGGAGACCGUUCCGGAUAAUUCCAUCCCUGGGUUGUCUGAUUCUGUUGCUAAGAUUAGAGAAGAUGUAAAAUCUGGUGUAGAAAAUUUAACAGAGGAGUGUGUAUCCACAAUGGCAGCCGUUACUCGGCUUCUAAUGAAGCUACUGCCAAAAGCUUUAAAUUGCCUUCCGGAUGCACCUCAAAAUCAGCUUCAUUCUUUGUGUUUUCUAAUUUCUAGCUCACUCAAUUCAGCCAUGGAAGUACGGAGAUAUUCCACAUUUUAUAAUGCAAAACCUGAUGAAGCCGGUGAUGGUGUUUGCACAAGAGCUUGGAGAUUCUUUUUAUCUUACUUCACAAUUGACGUUCUUUCAAUUCUUCCACUCCCCCAGCCAUGCAGGGUUCACAGAAAGAUUUGAACUUUUCAUUUGUGGUCGUGAGCUGGCCAAUGCAUUUUCCGAAUUGAUCGAUCGUAUUUAUCAAAGGAUGAUUAGAAAACCAGAUCAGGCAACACAAUGAAAAGCAUGGCUCAGCUGUUUCUGAAACAGACUCUUUGGACUUCAAUUGCCAAAAAGAUGAGGAUGGUUCUUAUGAAGUGACACUUGAUGAUGAUUUUCUUACUGCUCUGGAAUAUGGAAUGCCACUAGCUUCUGGACUGGAAUAAAGGAAAAUGAAGUAUAAUCGAAUUUGGAACCUUUGCAAGCAAGGGGAAGUUUUCUGUUCCCUAUCUCUUUUUUUUAUCCUUAC